rnacentral:lncRNA from 1 species
UCUGGGGCACUAUCACUUGGCCUUGGUUACGUAGGCUGGUUGGUUGUUAUAUUUCAUUAGAACGGGUGUACUUCUGCAUGCGUGUCUGUGCACACGAGCAUGCCUGAUGCCUUUGGAGGCCAGAGAAGCCAUCAGAUUCCCUGGAACUGAGGCUACAGGGGCCUUUGAGCUACCGUAUGGGUGCUGGGAAUCUCACCCUGGUCCUUUGGAAGAGCAGCUGGUGGUCUCAACUGCUCAGAGAGACACUGAUCACUCCAGAACUGUUCUGAACUUUUAAGAAUGUCUUUCCAGUGUCUACAGAGUCUAUUAACUGAGAAAAUGACUUUGCUUUCUGUAAAGGAAUACUUUCUUAGGUCGUAGUGACCUUUUAUACGACUGACUCAGCACCUGGACUCACUGAUAGUGGGCCCAAGGGAUAUUUACUGACUGCAUAGAGGAGUGGAAGCUUAGGUUUGAGCCACUUUUCAGUGUAGUCAGCUUAUGUAAUGGACGAUAAUUUCACAUCCUCCAUGUGUUUGAGGCCUGGGCUAUAGACUGAGAUCUCAUUUAUAAAAACUGGAGAAGAAAACCCCUGCUGAUUUAUAUAAAUGAAGAAACCCCGGACUCGAAAGGUAUCUUGUGCUGGAUACUGUCCAAAUGUGCAGACUUUGCUCACGUGAGAAAACUGGACUAGAAGAGGUGGAAAGAAGGGAAGCCAUCAGACAGGCACUGCCGCUUCUAAUUUAUAACGAUGCUAGUUUGUGGGGUUACACGGUGGCCCAGCAGUGAG